UAAUACGUAGGUGGCAAGCGUUGUCCGGAUUUAUUGGGUUUAAAGGGUGCGUAGGCGGUCAAUUAAGUCAGUGGUGAAAUACUUCAGCUUAACUGGAGAGGUGCCAUUGAUACUGGUUGACUUGAGUACUGAUGAGGUAGGCGGAAUGGACGGUGUAGCGGUGAAAUGCUUAGAUAUCGUCCAGAACACCGAUAGCGAAGGCAGCUUACUAAGGAGUAACUGACGCUGAGGCACGAAAGUGUGGGGAUCAAACAGGAUUAGAUACCCUGGUAGUCCACACUGUAAACGAUGAUUACUCGAUGUUGGCGAUACACGGCCAGCGUCUUAGCGAAAGCGAUAAGUAAUCCACCUGGGGAGUACGCCGGCAACGGU
rnacentral:rRNA from 1 species